AGAGUUUGAUCCUGGCUCAGGAUGAACGCUAGCUACAGGCUUAACACAUGCAAGUCGGGGGGCAGCACGGGAAGCAGCAAUGCUUUUGGGUGGCGACCGGCGAAUGGGUGAGUAACGAGUAUCCAACCUGCCCCGUGCUCCGGGACAGCCCCGCGAAAGCGGGAUUAAUACCGGAUGGUGCGUAUGUCCCGCAUGGGAUAUACGUCAAAGAUUUAUCGCUGUGGGAUGGGGAUGCGUCUGAUUAGCUUGUCGGCGGGGUAACGGCCCACCGAGGCGACGAUCAGUAGGGGUUCUGAGAGGAAGGUCCCCCACAUUGGUACUGAGACACGGACCAAACUCCUACGGGAGGCAGCAGUGAGGAAUAUUGGUCAAUGGCCGGAAGGCUGAACCAGCCAAGUAGCGUGCAGGACGACGGCCCUACGGGUUGUAAACUGCUUUUAUAGGGGAAUAAAGUGUGGUACGUGUACCGUUUUGUAUGUACCCUAUGAAUAAGGACCGGCUAAUUCCGUGCCAGCAGCCGCGGUAAUACGGAAGGUCCGGGCGUUAUCCGGAUUUAUUGGGUUUAAAGGGAGCGCAGGCGGGACCUUAAGCGUGUUGUGAAAUGUACCGGCUCAACCGGUGAUGUGCAGCGCGAACUGGGGUUCUUGAGUGGGUACGACGUCGGCGGAAUUCGUGGUGUAGCGGUGAAAUGCUUAGAUAUCACGAGGAACCCCGAUUGCGAAGGCAGCCGACGAGUCCCUUACUGACGCUAAUGCUCGAAAGUGCGGGUAUCGAACAGGAUUAGAUACCCUGGUAGUCCGCACGGUAAACGAUGGAUGCCCGCUGUUGGCGAUACAAUGUCAGCGGCCAAGCGAAAGCGUUAAGCAUCCCACCUGGGGAGUACGCCGGCAACGGUGAAACUCAAAGGAAUUGACGGGGGCCCGCACAAGCGGUGGAGCAUGUGGUUUAAUUCGAUGAUACGCGAGGAACCUUACCCGGGCUUGAACUCAUGGGGAACGACAGGGAGACCUGAAGGCCCGCAAGGGCUCCAUGAGAGGUGCUGCAUGGUUGUCGUCAGCUCGUGCCGUGAGGUGUCGGGUCAAGUCCCAUAACGAGCGCAACCCCUGCGUCCAGUUGCCAGCAAUCCGGUUGGGCACUCUGGACGGACUGCCCGCGCAAGCGGAGAGGAAGGCGGGGAUGACGUCAAAUCAGCACGGCCCUUACGUCCGGGGCGACACACGUGCUACAAUGGGCGGCACAGAGGGAAGCCACCUGGUGACAGGGAGCGGAUCCCGAAAGCCGUUCACAGUCCGGAUCGGGGGCUGCAACCCGCCCCCGUGAAGCUGGAAUCGCUAGUAAUCGCGAAUCAGAACGUCGCGGUGAAUGCGUUCCCGGGUCUUGCACACACCGCCCGUCAAG
rnacentral:rRNA from 1 species